UAGCAUUAGCUUUUCCUGAAGUAUGGCAGAUGUAAACGGACUAAGUUAAGUGCUGAACAACAACGCCUCGCUGAAGCACAGGAGGCCCCCGUUUAUAGACUUCAAAACCUUGUCUCUGUACCAUCUGAUCAACGCACAGCAAAGGAAACCCAUGUCGUCCUACAGUCACUACUAUCUUCACUACAGCAGUGCAGACAUCUACACAAACUGCCCAUCACCCCCUCACACGCAGGAGGAGGGGAGUCAGUACCUUGCCAUAGUAGGACCCUGCAGUGGAAUAGGAGUUUGAAGACCUGCCGCUAUGAUGGAUCUGUGGGGAGGCAGGAGCCUCUCCUUUCUACACACAAAAAACACACAAAAUAAACACCAGAUUGUGCAUGCCAAAUGAUCUGUUGCCAAUAAAUUCAAUGGAAGUUCUGCACAGGAUGCCAUGACUUUA